CUGAAUGUCUCUUUCUUUCAAAGAAAAAUGCUUUGAACUUGGAAGAACAGUAAAGUGUAAAGCAUAUGAUCAAAAACCCUCUCAGACUAUUUAAUUCCAAUAUUUCUUGGAACUGGAAUUAACAUUCUUGGUCCUGUAAAUAAUAAAUAGAAAUCAUCUUGAUCUCUCUAUCCCUGUCCAAAGUAAUUAAUACUGCAAUGCUGCAUCGCUGUAAUUCAAAGAAGAGAUGCUGAUUUUUUUCUUCAUAAAUGUCCAUUUUAUAUUUUCCUAUGCUUUUUUUUGUAGAGAAACAGAUAACCUGCCAGUUUUACUUUUUAAUUGAACUUGCUCAUCCUAUUAAUGAAAAUUUUAUAAAGCCUUGAUAAUGAACAUUACUUCAAGGGCAAAAUUAUCAGUGUUUUUCAGUGCAUGUGGUCUCCAUUUCAGGAAGACUGGCAGGAGACCUUUUUCACAUGUAAUGGAAAAUUAAUAUAUAAAGAAAAUAUGACAGGGUAUUCCAUAGUCCUACUUUAAAAACAGUUGUAGUAAUGUACAUGAAGACAAAACCCCCCAUGGUGAUUCCAUUUUGCUUGAUACUUCCUGUUAAUGAUUUCAUUAGUAGUGUUUAUAGCUGUUUCUGCAGUGCUCUCUCUGUGCCCCUAAAUAUUAAGUUCUUGCCUAUGAGUUCAAAAGGUCUGGUAAUUAAUAAUUAGCAGUGCAAAAAGUCUUUGUGAAAGGUAAAGUCGCAAGGAACGUAUCUCAUUGAGGAUAACUGAGCCGGAGCAAUUUGUUUAGCUUACAACCAGGAAAUCAUCUUGUCACCUGUAUGAGUAAGUGAGAGCCACAAAAAAGAAAAUUAAAGAAGUAAUUUUAAAUUUAUUUUUUUCACCCCAAUAACUUAAGUACCUCUCAACUGCAGCAUCCUGUAUACAUUUAUAACACAGACUGUCCUGUAUUUUUGAUUCUGUUUUCAUGUAUUUGUAUGUUUUGUGGUAUGAUUUUCAUAUCAUCAGGUGUGAUGCUGCUUAUUCUAACUGCGAGGAUUUAAUGUUUGCAAGAACUGUACAUGACUGUAUUGCUGUCUUAAGGAACAAGUUUUUGAUGACUUGAGGAAGCUAAGGAGUUUGGACAAGACUUAAAAUAUCUCUGCUUUCUCUUCAGAGAUGAAUGGUAGCAUCGGCAGGAUUGAUAAUUACCAAAUGAUGCUUUGUCAAUAUAAAAUCUUUACUGGUUGUAUAAAUUCCUGUAUUUAUAUCUAGAGUAUAGUUAGAAUGGAUAUUUUUUACAAAAAGAAAAAACUUUUUCUAGUUGUUUUCUACUACUGUUGCAUUAGUAGAAUUUGCAUUUCAUAGCUCUGUUAAGUGUUAGCUUAUGUACUUGAAAUGUUUGUUUCUGCCAUACAGAAGACCAGUGUGUUUCUCAGAAAUUGUAAUCCAUUUGGAAGCCAUCUAGAGAGGACUAUUUCUGUACCCAGCUGGAGCUAAUACUAAAAUUUAAAGCAACUUCUGUAGGCUUAAUAGUGAUCACUGUCAAUACUUUAACUAAAAAAAAUUUGAAAAGUUUGUAGGUUUUUUCAGUGUAUAGAAGUAAUCUUCAAACAUCAUCCCUUUGUCAUAUGUAAAUUAAAAAAUAUUAGCAUUGCUAACACUUCUGCAAAGAAGCAAAAUGCUGAUGAAUAUGUACCCAAGAGUAUUCCUGGACAAAUUUUAAUCAAUUUAGCUAUAGUGGUUAAAGACCUAUCACCUUCGGAACAAUCAACAGAAAAUUCAUAUAUGCACAUGGUAGAACUACAAACAUCUGUUUUAAAUAAUUAAAGACUUGUUUCCCAGUUGACAAAAACUUGAUGAGCUCUCUGAUGGGAUUUUGAGUUCAUAUAACCUAUUGCUUGCAUUAGUGGGGCCGAAGAAGCUGGUGCUUUAUUUAUAUUUAACACCAGUCAUGCCUUUGUUAAUGUUUUUACCUUGCUUCCCAGCUUCUGUGUCUGGAUGAGUUCCCAGCUUCGGGCAAGAUGAGACCCUUGCAUGUCUGUCUAUGGUUUUUGUUCAGAAGAGCUGGACAGGCAGGCCAGGAAAAAGUUGUAGGGCGCUUGAGGAGAGAAAUAUACACCAAGGCUUCAGGCUCCAAAGCCUAGCAUAGCCAUGAUGGACUAAAAUCUUUUAAGUUAUAUUUUUGUAGUCCCUUCUGGAAGCUCUUAUCUAACAAUUAACGUGAGCUACCAGAAUACCCUUGGCAAGAGAAGUGUUUUGGCGAACUCUACCAGCUCUGUAAGACAUUGAAAAUACUGAACAUUAUGGUAGCUAUUAGUAGGACAAUAUCCAAAUGGGCAAUUAAUAUUUUAUUCUGUGGAACAAAUAUUUUGGAAAAAUAUAGUUUGUAGUAUUAUUCAAAGACUAGUGUUAGGAUUGAAAAACUACUGAAUAUAAAUGCAAUGUGGUACUAAAUUUUAAGUCAUUUGCAACUAUCUUUUUCCAAAUUCAUUGGAAACAAUUUUAGGGAGCUAUGUUUGAUCCAGGUAUAGCUGACAAGAGUGUAUGAACUGGAAGGUGGGAACAGGAAGAAAUGAGCUAAAAGUAAAAUUGGAUGGUUUGUUUUCAUUAUGGAAACUGUGUGUAAAGCCAAAAAGAAAAUCUCCAUAGUGCCCCAAAUCCCUUCUAUGACUUUUUAAAGGGAAUUAGCAUUUUAAGUCCCAAAUUUUUUAAACUAAAGCAUUAAUUGGAUAAAAACCAGUUUAAUUAAUAACCUGACAGUGCCAGUAACAGGGAAAGAGUUAGAGAUAUAACUAUGUUUUUCUCCUGGUGUUAGUGUAAGUAAGCUCUGUUUGGGACUAAUUCUCUUUGCAGUCACGGUCAAUUAUUUUGUGAACAGGGAGAGUGAGGAAAGCCAUUCAAAGCUGCUUGGUCUUGCUUUUCAAGGAUGGGGAGAGCACGUGUGCUGAACAGUAGGGCCUGGAGGCUUUUAAUGAGAAUUUCAAGGAUACAAGAUUUUCUAGUCGGAUAGUUUAGGAAGGUUUACAAGGAGCACACAGGCAUGCAUAUUGUCAUUGUGAAGGUUCCUAGUAGCACUGUCCUCUCACAAGAUGCCACAUCUAUACAUUGAAACAGGCAUUUGGACUGUAUGUCUAGCCACAGAGGAUUUUCUACAGGCUUGUGAACCUGUCCUGAAAUAAUUUGUUUCAUUAGCCACCUUUUUACAUCAUAUCCUUUGAAUCCUAAAAGAGCUGAAACUCUUCUAGGCAUUUCCCUAGAGCUGCCAGUUACCUUAAAAAUGUAAUAUGCUUGUAUGUCGACAGGAUCAUCAAAGGGCAAGGUGAUAUUCACAGUGGCAGAUGAGACAUGCAAUAAAUAGAUGGGAUUUGUACAUGAGGAGUACAAGCUGUUGAGAUGCUCCUGAAAGGUGAAGAGGGCCUGAUUUCUGCACCUUUCCCUUGGCCCUUCUUUGUUGCUGUCAUCACACAAAAAUAAUUUAACGUCAUACAAUAUUAGCAGCUUCUUGUCUUAAUUCAUGGUGAUGGCAAACCUAUCAAUCACUAAUGAACUAAUGAAACUUCUCACUGUCACAUCUGUCUGUCUAGAGCAGGUAUCUUCAAAUGUUGAGCACUAUGGAAUUGCAUUAAUGUAUUUUUAAUGUAUGUUCUGGCAUUUAAGAAAGGUAAAUUUCAUCUAAAGGUAUUUCAAAAGUUCUGAGAGGAUCCCAGCCAAGCAUGGGUGAUUUCUGUCAUUAGCCAGACUUGUAACUUACACUGGUAUUCCAGUCAAGUACAGCUGUUAGUUAAUUCUGUAGUGACAUCCACUUACCUGCAUGAAUGGAUGCAUGAAGUAUGCAUGGAAGCGUUGCAGAAAUGGGACACUGUCUCGUUCUCUGCAUAACUCAUAUAUUUGUGUCUAAAUGGCAGUUUGUAGCAAAGAGAUGAAACAUGUGAUUUCCACUCAGUCCAAACCUAUAUUCAAUUGAAAAUUAAAACAUCUAACAUGCUUUGUUGGAUAAAAACAUCUAACAGGUUAGAUGAAAACAUCUAAUAUCUACUGGCACAUAUUCAGAAGUUUCUGCCCUUUGUUUCCCCUUUUUCCUGUUUAUUCCACAAGAAAGUCCAUCAUCUUUGCAAUCAUAUAAAUCUUUUGGGACUUAGGCAUAUGCUAUGCUUUUAAUAGUACUUUAGGCCCCUUGGAGAUUGUUCUUGUCUUUCAUUUAUAGCAUUUACAUGUAAGCAUACAGAUGAUUUUCUUGGAGAGAUAUUGUUCCUCACAUAAAAGCAGUCCUCAAAUUGACCAUGGGUAAGCUUUUAUGUGCCAUACCUAUGAAUGUCAUUCUCUUGACAGUAUUUGUGUGGAUGUGUGUAGAUAUGUAGCACCUAGUUCAUAAUGUUUAUGUGAGAGCACACCUGUACAUAGAAAUGUAUAUACAUGCCCUGGUUUUGCCCAAUAUAACAAUGCCAACUUGUGUGUUGAGCCAAAAAAACUUAAAACUAUACAGUGCUUGAGAUGCUGCAUUGUUUUUAUUAUAGUAUUUUUUUAUAUCAGAUAACUUGCAGGAUGUUUACAGAUGCUUAUUAAUAUUUAACUUAUACAAUGGGGUGGCAGGAUGUUUAUGAUUGUUGUCAGCUAAAGAAUUGUAUAUGAUUCUGGGUGAAAUGUUGGCUUUUUUGAAAUCCUUGGCAAAGCUCCCAUUGAUCUCACUGGGGCCAAGAUUAGACUCUUCUGAAUCUAUUGUUUACGGGCUAUUUUCCUACUGUGAUAAUUUUUUUAAUGAGUGAAAUGUAUUUAUUUUUUCCCAAUGUGAAAUAUGCAGUUUCUAUUUGGAUUUUUCUAUGGAACCUGCAAACUACAACACAGGUGGGAAUAUAUGCCUCAGAGACUGUACAGAAUUUUUCAUUGAUCUGGUCCUUGAAUAUGUCUAAGAAAAUACCUUCUAAAAUAACUUUUGUAAGAUUUAAUACAGAAUCCUCUAAAAAGAGAUCACCUUUCAUGCCUCUCUCAUCUCACAAAGAGGGAAUGCAAUGUGGCAGGUGAAUGUGAAGAAUUAUUCCAUGAUAAAAAGUAGUUCUGUCUGUUUUCUAUACUUACUGAUCUCAUGCAGCUCACCUGUCUUUGCAGAUCUGGUAUAAGACACUUGAAGUACCUUAUCCAGAAGUACCUUAUUGGGGAAAAAAAAAAAAGUUACAUAGUAAGUAUGUGGGUUUAAGCUUCUCAUCAAGACAUGGAGGUAUCUUCAGAGCCAGUGUGUUGAAUGACUUUAUAUUCCAUGGAUCAGUUAAAAUGAUGAAAAUGUUAAAUGGUAAGGCAAGUCAGACAGCUGCUUGACAUUAGAGAAAUCACUUGUCUAAAAGCAGAAGGAACAGUUCUUUAAUAGCACAAGGAGGAAAUAUACCAUAAUGCAGCGCUUCCUAAAUCCCUUUCCAGGGUAUCUUUUAAUUAUGCAUGCUCAAAGUGUAUUCUUCCUGUAAAAAAACCAUAUGGCUGUGAAACAGCUAGAUAGAUGCAUCCUAAUUUCUUCAUCUAAGGCUAAAAUACCAUUUUUAAACAAGAGCUGUCAUGCACUUUGAAAUACAUAUGUUGGGAACAGGUAAGUUUAUAUUUAUCAUAGAUAAGUCAUCCCAGGGGUAGUCGGACUUGUAAAAUGAUGUAGUAUGUCAAGGUUAUCAAAAGCUGAAGAAAUAACAAAGCAGACACCUUCCUUCGCAAGGCUCUUUCUGAAGACAUCUGUGCAAAUGCCCACCACUUCCAGGAAUCUUUUCCUAUAAUUUUGUUUAAGAAAGGAUCAUAUUCAGAUUCCUAUCCUUCCCUUUGCUAAUAAGGCAGGAAGUAUGCACCUUGGUUGAAAUUUCUAGGAGUUUGUUGGCUGUGGAAACAGACCUCAAAGAAUAGACAUUUGAGGCAAUCAAUAUGUUUGCAAAGGAUACACAGGGCUCUGUCUCGGCUCGUUAGUCUGCUAAUGUGGCUCUGACCACAGAUUGGUGGGAGAAAAAGCUCCUUGGUGCUUCACAUGGUGGCAAGGCUCUGUGGUUGUCAGUGGGGGCAGACAGGUGCCAAGCAAGCAGACUCCUUUCCUUUUGCGUAUUGGUUGGCUUUCUGCAAUUCUAAUCAGGACUGGAGUUCAGGACACACCUUUAUUUGUCUGCAAGGCCAUGUGAUAUCUGAGGAAAUGAGGAGGAAGUGGCUGAAGGUCUGGAUUCUGCCUUUGGUUUCUUGCCAGUGGAGCUGGUGUAAGACUGGGGGCAGUGUAGUUAACCUCUGAGUACCUCACUUUCUCCACCGAAGGGAAUAGGGAUGCUCACCACCUCUGUACAGCCCCCUCAAGUCCUGUCGGAGAGCAGUGUUAUAUAAACAGCUGAGUUUUACCCACACUAUUAUAUGUAGUAAAAAUAAAUUACUUCUGUCUAUAACACUGCAAGAAUUGCUUUUCCUAGUUCCAGUUCUCUUUGAUGACCUACUAUGUCCUGGGCAGUCAGUUUUAAGGCUUAGCAAUUGCUCUAAUGCUUAGAAUUACACACAUAGCAGGCUCUGUUUGCUGCAGAAAAGAAUAAAACUUUAAACUGCCUGACAAAACUUGCCAAUGAAAUAUAUCUAACAGGGCAGGGGUGUAACUUUUGGCUUUAUUUACUUGUAAUAAUGGUAAGGAACAGUGAAUUUUGUUUGUUUACAUACUGUUUACAAUGGCACAGUUUUAUUUUUAAUAUAUAAAAACAAUUGAGGUAUUUAUUGCAUAUACUAUUUUAAAGAUGUUUUAUGUGUUUUCACCUUUGGAAUAUAUUGUUACAUUUCCUUGUACAGAUAAUUUGGGUGGCUUUGUUAAUAUAGUUAGUAAUUUUUAUGACUACUAAGUGACCAGUUUUCUGUGCCUUUUUAUUGUUGGAUGCAUGAUUACAUAUUUAUUAUUGUAUGGAAGUCACUGAGAUGUGUAUUUUUGUAUUCUGCUGGAAGCAAUGGUUGAUUUUAUUGUACAUGAUAAGAGAUGCCUUCCAUAACAGGCACUCGUAUGAGAUCUUCCUUCUCAAAU
rnacentral:lncRNA from 1 species